GAUGAACGCUAGCGGCAGGCUUAAUACAUGCAAGUCGAGGGGCAGCACGGGUAGCAAUACUUGGUGGCGACCGGCGCACGGGUGCGUAACACGUAUACAAUCUACCUAUAACAGGGGGAUAGCCUUUCGAAAGAGAGAUUAAUACCACGUAACACACGAAACGGCAUCGUUGUUUGUUGAAAGUUCCGACGGUUAUAGAUGAGUAUGCGUCUGAUUAGCUAGUUGGUAGUGUAAUGGACUACCAAGGAGACGAUCAGUAGGGGAUCUGAGAGGACUACCCCCCACACUGGUACUGAGACACGGACCAGACUCCUACGGGAGGCAGCAGUAAGGAAUAUUGGACAAUGGUGGCAACACUGAUCCAGCCAUGCCGCGUGCAGGAAGACGGCCCUAUGGGUUGUAAACUGCUUUUGUACCAGAGAAAACCUAUCUACGUGUAGAUAGCUGAUAGUAUGGUAAGAAUAAGCAUCGGCUAACUUCGUGCCAGCAGCCGCGGUAACAC
rnacentral:rRNA from 1 species